rnacentral:sRNA from 1 species
GCUGGGUGUGGUGGCUCAUGCCUGUAAUCCCAGUGACUCAGGAGGCUGAGGCAGGAGGAUUGCAAGUUCAAAGCCUGCUCAAAAAUUUAGCAAGGCCCUAAGCAACUUAGUGAAACCUUGUCUCUA